rnacentral:lncRNA from 1 species
UAAGUGAUAGAUUUUUUUUUUUCUUGCUUUUACUCUGUAGUACGUGGGUACAUUUCAAAUGUUAGGAUGGGGAAAGACUGAAAAUCCCAGUGAGUAUCCAGCCAGGCCCUCUUUAAAUGUACAGGAUGAAAUCCCCUCUUUCAUAUCCCCCCUGCUCCCUACAAGUUAUCCCCUGUGGGGAAAAAUGGGAUGUUACUUUAAAAACAAAAUGGGCUGAUUUUUUCAACUUAUAUUUAUUAUUUAUUGGAAUCAAUCUUAAAUCAGAAACAUUUUUGGAAAAAAUCUUUAGGCUAGAAUAAUUUUUUGAAUAGUGUUAUUACUACUUAAAUAAUAAAAUAAGCAGGAAAGUAUUUAAGACAGUGAGAGUUAAGGGAGAGAGCACUCAGGAGCCAGGGAGUUGUACAAAUCUCUAAUAUUCUAUUUUGCAGCCAAAAAACUUGCUGUGUAUGUUUGUACUUUUUCAGAGGCAAAACUGAAAAGAUUGUCUUACGAAUAUCAAAAUACACACUUAACCCAAGUUCCUAAUUUAACCCAGUGUUGGCUUGUCUAAAACAGCUAAUCAGUUAUUCAUUUACAUAUUUAAAAUAUAGAGCCUUAUUUUUACGGACUUGUUUGAAGUUUGAAAAACUUUAUAAAAGUGAAAAACUCUAAUUGAAAAAAAAUCUAUAUUCCUCAGUAUUUUGUAAAAUAUUGAAGCUUUUAGCAUUAAGUCAGUCCAUAGAUUAAAGUCAUUGUAGGAAAAUGAAAUACAAAGGAGAAAUUAAAUCUUAAAAAAGCUGGUUUAACUCUUAAAAAAAUAAACUAACUCAAUAUGUAUUAAAUAUACCGUCAAUAUACCUUAUCACAUUAGGCUGUGUGUAGGCAAACUACUUUAGUCUUGUUACUGGGCAAACAUAUUUACUGUGUUCCAGGGGCCCUCCCUGUCUUAUGCAGGAAAUGCAUGUACUGCAUAAGAAAUGAAUUAUAAUUAAGGUCUAAUGACCUUGAAGAUCUCGCAUGCGAGGACAGAUGGCAUGUUGAGGACACAGAGGUGAGGUGGAUGUCCAGGUUCAGCUUUGCCAAUUUUUGUGAAAAACCUUUAGCGCCCUCUGAACUGUUUCUUUAGUAUUGGAGCUAAUGCCGAGGCCUAGAGAAAUAGUGGGCAAGAGAUCUAACUGUGCCAUAUCAGAGAUGAUCUAGACCAUGGGAAGAGCAGGAUUUAUGUAACUACUAAUUAUAGUUCUCAUUCAUCUGAGAUGAAUCUGCAAUCUUCUUAAGCCCUUUAAAUUCUAGAUGUUUUGAGGGUAAGCUUGGGUUUAAUUAGUAGCCAUAGUAAUUAAAUCUAGAAAGAAAUGAAAUUCCACAGGACAGUGUAUUUACUGGAGACCAAGUGACUUGGUUGUCACAUAAACCUCAUCAGAACUCAUCAAAUUUGUAUGGCCUUGCAAUAGAAUUUAAAUUGCUAAUAUUUUAACAAUAUUAGAUAUUGUUAACAAUUUAGAAAACAUGAAGUCUUGUGAACUGGUCUUUCUACAUAAGUGCUUAAUCCAAAAUUUGAAAAGCCUUUAAUGCUUAAGAUCUUAGUUUCUUCAUGGUGUGCUUUCCCUAGUGUUAAAGUGGCUCUGUCUGGUCUCCCCACUUUCUCUAGGAUAAUUCUUAAAUACCUGCCCACACAAGUUCUAGAUGCUCUGAAGAGCAUUUGUAGUUAGUAUCUCUUUAAUACUUGUAAGCUUCAUUGACACUUUUCCUUCCCAAAAUAAGUCAAAUUUCAGCACAGCAAUGGGGAUUUUCUUAUCUUAGAAGACCAGCCAAUUCUAUGUUCAUUUAAGAUUGAUUCCACACUCCAUUUUCAAGGAGAGGCCUUGUGUUUUCUUAAAAGGCAGAAUAAGUAAAAUUGGGAGCUAUGCCAGACUGAACGCAAGACGUGACUUUGUGAUUCCAGAACAAACAUGCCUCAGUUAUAGUAACAUGCAUUCAAAUGAUUGUGUCACUUGAAAAAUAUGAUUUCCUGUGGGCCUUUUGGCAACUUCUCUUUUUAGUAUCGAGAAAAAUGUAAUCACCCCAAAACCCGCAUAAGUGUGACUUGUAGAUGUGGGCAGGAGGUUGGGGGAUGGACAUUGUAUGUGUUUAAAUUAAACCCUGUAUCACUGAGAAGCUAUUGGAGGGGUCAGAGAUAAUGAAUGCAUAGAUGCUGUUCACAUCUUCAAGAGCAAAAGCAAAUCACGUGUCUCAGCUAUAUUAUUAUUUAUUUUUAUGCAUAAAGUGAAUCAUUUCUUCUGUAUUAAUUUUCAGUGGGGUUUGCCCUCUAUUUAAAUGCUUUGAAAAACAGUGCAUUGACAAUGGUUGAUAUUUUUCUUUAAAAGAAAAAUAUAAUUAUGAAAGCCAAGAUAAUCUGAAAUCUGUUUUGAUCUAAAACUUUUUAUGUUAUGUGGUUGAUGUUGUUUGUUUGUUUUUUAUUUUUAUUUUGUGAGUUCCUUUGCAUACUACAUGCAAUUCUUUAACCAAUGUCUGGCUAAUGUAAUUAAAGUUGUUAAUUUAUAUGAGUGCAUUUCAACU